GAUGAACGCUGGCGACGUGCCUAAUACAUGCAAGUAGAACGCUGAAGGAAGGAGCUUGCUCUUUCCGGAUGAGUUGCGAACGGGUGAGUAACGCGUAGGUAACCUGCCUGGUAGCGGGGGAUAACUAUUGGAAACGAUAGCUAAUACCGCAUAACAGUAGAUGUUGCAUGAUAUCUACUUAAAAGGUGCAAUUGCACCACUACCAGAUGGACCUGCGUUGUAUUAGCUAGUUGGUGAGGUAACGGCUCACCAAGGCGACGAUACAUAGCCGACCUGAGAGGGUGAUCGGCCACACUGGGACUGAGACACGGCCCAGACUCCUACGGGAGGCAGCAGUAGGGAAUCUUCGGCAAUGGACGGAAGUCUGACCGAGCAACGCCGCGUGAGUGAAGAAGGUUUUCGGAUCGUAAAGCUCUGUUGUAAGAGAAGAACGAGUGUGAGAGUGGAAAGUUCACACUGUGACGGUAUCUUACCAGAAAGGGACGGCUAACUACGUG
rnacentral:rRNA from 1 species